AGCUUGAACGCUGGCGGCGUGGCUAAGACAUGCAAGUCGAACGGGUGUAGCAAUACACCAGUGGCGGACGGGUGAGUAAUGUAUCGCUAACGUGCCCUAGAGCCAGGGAUAGCUGUCCGAAAGGACAGGUAAUACCUGAUGAUAUACCUUUGUCGCAUGACGAAGUUCUCAAAGCAGUAAUGCACUCUUGGAGCGGGCGAUAUCGUAUCAGCUAGUUGGUGAGGUAACGGCUCACCAAGGCGACGACGCGUAGCCGGACUGAGAGGUUGGCCGGCCACAUUGGGACUGAGACACUGCCCAGACUCCUACGGGGGGCUGCAGUAACGAAUCUUCCGCAAUGCACGAAAGUGUGACGGAGCGACGCCGCGUGUGGGACGAAGUUCUUCGGAAUGUAAACCACUGUCAGGGGUUAGAAAGUUCUGAUCAACCCCAGAGGAAGGCACGGCUAACUCUGUGCCAGCAGCCGCGGUAA
rnacentral:rRNA from 1 species